rnacentral:lncRNA from 1 species
GAUGGGGACGCUGAAGUGCGAUGGUCCACGCCGAAGUAAGAUGGUCCUUUCGCUGAAGUGCGAUGGUUUUGUGUAUGACGUUUGAAUAAUAUGACGUUUUCAAAAUACAACAUGGAUUCGCAGGCAGGAGAAUAGGGUUUUGUAGAUGAAGGUUUCAUGCUAACAAAGAAAAGUAAGGAAAUAAGAAAGAAACAAACAAUUCAAGUCCCGAACAGUUUUAAGCAUUACAUGUUGAG